UGCUUUGGAAGUCUUGUUAAGGAAGUCUGUGCCAGCACCAAUAUGAUGGAGUGUUUACCUUAUGUUUUCUUCUAGACCAGUUUCUGGUCUAAUUCCUAAAUUUUUGAUCCAUUUCAAUUUGACUUUUAUGCAGGGUGAAACAUAGAAAACUAGUUUGAUUUUUCUCCACUUAGUUUUUUUACAGUUUUUCCAGCACCAUUUGUGAAAAAAGGUUGUCUUUUGUUCAAAGUACAUUUUGGGCACCUUUGUCAAGUAUCAGAUGGCUGACCCCCACACCUGAUAAAGCCUCCCAGACUGACUCUGGGCAACCCCAUGCCAAUGAAAACUUCUGGAAGCAGGUGACUGGGAAGAUUGAUACCUGUGUCAACAACUGUGCUACUGUGUGUCACGCAUCAGUAGUAAGGUGGCUCCAAUGUAAGAGGGCAGGAAUCUGCAAGAUUCAAAAAGUGUGGCUCCAAUAAAGGGAAGAGGUGAGCAGACUCAAACAGUGCACAGCCAGAGAACCUGUGCUCUGUGGAUCCUGACACCUUGCAUAGACAUCAGUGAACAGCUGCAGGAGCAACAUGUGCUGACUACCUCAGGUUUCUCUGUGCAGGUUUCAGCCCAGAGCACUUCUGCGUCCACCUGGACAUCAGGAGUCUCCUCUGCCCCAACCUGCAGAAGUCAUCAGAGACUGUUCUCCUUGGGACACUCUCCCUGCCCUGCUCCUCUGUCAUUACUCCAAUUCUUCUGAGAUGUUUCAUAAUAAAUUUGUUUCAGACAAAAAUAAAUAAAUAAAAGAGUAUUGUUCAAU